ACCAAUGGUGGAGAUGCGCGGGCAGCCUUCGGGCUGGCCGUUGUUCCUUCGGUAUUGCUACCCCGCGCAGAUCUGCCACCUUU
rnacentral:antisense_RNA from 1 species